GAUGAACGCUGGCGGCGUGCCUAAUACAUGCAAGUCGAGCGAACAGAUGAGGAGCUUGCUCCUCUGACGUUAGCGGCGGACGGGUGAGUAACACGUGGAUAACCUACCUAUAAGACUGGGAUAACUUCGGGAAACCGGAGCUAAUACCGGAUAAUAUAUUGAACCGCAUGGUUCAAUAGUGAAAGACGGGUUUGCUGUCACUUAUAGAUGGAUCCGCGCCGCAUUAGCUAGUUGGUAAGGUAACGGCUUACCAAGGCAACGAUGCGUAGCCGACCUGAGAGGGUGAUCGGCCACACUGGAACUGAGACACGGUCCAGACUCCUACGGGAGGCAGCAGUAGGGAAUCUUCCGCAAUGGGCGAAAGCCUGACGGAGCAACGCCGCGUGAGUGAUGAAGGUCUUCGGAUCGUAAAACUCUGUUAUUAGGGAAGAACAAAUGUGUAAGUAACUAUGCACGUCUUAACGGUACCUAAUCAGAAAGCCACGGCUAACUACGUG
rnacentral:rRNA from 1 species